rnacentral:rRNA from 1 species
CCUUCGCUACUCAGGGGAGUAGGCGGCAGGGUUGAUGGAGAAGACGGUACAAUCCCAGAGGUGACCAAAUCUAUUAGAGAAUUGCUCCAAGUUAGGGUGAAAACUUCCUGCAUUCCAGAAGUUCGAUAGCAUUGAGAAAGUGAAUCAUAGUAGCUAACUCAACGCAAAGAGUGCAAACACUUAAAGUGCUUCAGAAGUGUGAACAAAGAGUAGGCGAAAGCUAGUAACCAGCUCGAUGCAUGGAGUACAACCUCGAGGAGGCGGGCGAAGUCAAGUAACCUUUGCCUUUUCAACCCUUAAGAGAAUGGGCGAAACCGAGUACCCCAAUUCUCUUAUCUAUCCAGCAGAGGAGCUCUGCAUAAGUUCAAAACCCUUCGAAGAUAAUUGAGGACAAUAGUUGUCAAAUCCUCACCAAUGGUGAUUAGUGUUACUGAGAGUAAAUUGUCCGCUUCAUUUCCCAAUGAAAUGCCAAUCGAAAGUGGAAGUGAUACAAACCUACUUGGAUGUGACAACUAAGUGAAAGAAGAGUCAAUGAGCAAAUUUUGUGGAGGAAGGACCCAAAUCUUCAGAAGUUUGUGAGACGAUGCUCGUUAAAAGCUCCAACAAGCAUCCACCCAGUUCAAACAACAUGAGGCAUUUGAGAGACUGGCCCAGUAAGGAUGGUCUUUUCCUUCAUCUGGAGGAUCCGCAGGAACCAACAGGGAUCAACACAACUCAGUCAACCCCACACUAGAGUCAGAGUCAUUGGCGAGUUGAAGCAGUAGGGCGGAUCAAAGGUUUGACUACUCAAAAACAACAGCGGAGAGUAGCUGGGAGCCAAGAGAUGCAUUGUAGCUGGAGUAGAAGAUUGAAGACUCAGCAAAGGCGAAGUUGCAAUGUCGGCAAAGGCUUCAACGAGGACGUCGAAGGAAGAAGUGGGGGAGAAUGUCACGGACAAACUUCUAAACAGGAUGUUUGAUGUAAUACUUAUGUAUGUCCGUGUCUUUUGGUGUGUUCAUGCUUUGUACAUCAUGUAGAGGGACGACCGAAGGCUUAAUAGUCCCAUUUUAGUUGGGUUGGUGGUCGCUUUAGGCUUGUAAAUAAAGGUUGUGUCAUGUGGACACGUGCGAGAGAUUCUCGGUCUAUAAUGGACCAUUUUACCCUUUGUUGUGCAACUGUUCAGAGCUUGUAAAGUCUGUUUGUAAUUUGCAUUGUCUAUAAAGUGUUUUUCGGAGAUGUUUGCUUGUGGAUCCCGAGUGAGGCAUUUUCUCUGUCCUAUUCUUUCUUUUGUGGGACCUAAGGGACCAUGGGAGGUUUCGGGGAGGCUGACCUUUACGGACGGACACGCAAGGGUGCCGCACGACUUAGGCAAAACCAGCUAAGUCCGUGACAAAGUGGUGCCAUAUUUGGUAAGCAGAACUAGCGAUGAGGGAUGAACAAGAAGCUAGGUUACGGUGCCCAACUGCAUGCUAACCCAGACACCACAAAGGGUGUUGGUUGAUCGUACUUAUAACCGCAUCAAGUCUCCAAGGUGAAUAGCCUCUAGCCCAUGGAAUAAUGUAGGCAAUGGAAGUUAGCAAAACAGAUCUGUAACUUCGGAAAAAGGAUUGGCUUUGAGGGAUAGGCAAGGGGGUUCUGACCCCGAACUCAUCGACUGUCGGAGGAUUGCUCGAGCAUCUCUCAUGGUGAGAGUGGGUUGCCAUGUGCCAAUUGGGGGACAAACCGGGAACAGCCCCCUUAGGAGUCUUCCCCGGGCAUCGAACAGUCUACUCAGAACUGGUACGGACAAGGGGAAUCCAACUAUUUAAUUAAAACAAAGCAUUGCGAUGGUCCCCAUAAAUGCUCAUGUAAUGUGAUUUCUAUAUAGUGCUCUGAAUGUCAAAGUGAAGAAAUUCAACCAAGCACGGGUAAACGACGAGAGUAACUAUGACUCUCUUAAGAUAGCUAAAUACCUCGUCAUCUAAUUAGUGAUGUGUAUGAAUGGAUUAACGAGAUUCCCAUUGUCCCUAUCUAUUAUCCAGCGAAACCAUAGCCAAGGGAACCGGCUUGGCAGAAUCAGCGGGGAAAGAAGACCUUGUUGAGCUUAACUCUAGUCCAACUUUAUGAAAUGACUUGAGAGGUGUGGGAUAAGUGGGAGCCGGUUCACCGACGGAAGUGAAAUACCACUGCUUUUAAUAUUAUUUUACUUAUUCUAUGAGUCGGAGGUGGGGUCGGCCCCCUCCUUUUUGACAUAAGGCCUGCCUAGCAGGCCGAUCCGGGCGGAAGACAUUGUUAGGUGGGGAGUUUGGCUAAGGCAAGUGUCCUAAGAUGAGCUCAACGAGAACAGAAAUCUCAUGUGGAACAAAAGGGUAAAAGCUCGUUUAAUUUUGAUUUCCAAUACAAAUACGAAUUGUGAAAUCAUGGCCUAUCGAUCCUUUAGACCUUUGGAAUUUGAAGCUAGAGGUGUCCGAAAAUUUACCAAAGGGAUAACUGGCUUGUGAUAGCCAAACGUUCAUAACGAUGUUGCUUUUUUAUACUUCGAUGUCGGCUCUUCCUGUCAUUGUGAAGCAGAAUUCACCAAGUGUUGGAUUGUUCACCCACCAAUAGGAAACAUGAGCUGAGUUUAGACCAUUGUGAGAUAGGUUAGUUUUACCCUACUAAUGAUCGUGUCACGAUAGCAAUUCAACCUACUAUGAGAGGAACCAUUGAUUCACACAAGAACCGUUGAUUCACAUAAUUGGUUAUCGUAAUUGGUUUAAAAGCUAGUGGCGCGAAGCUACUGUGUUAGAUUAUGACUGAACGCCUCUAAGUCAGAAUCCUAGCUAGCAAUCGGUGCUCUUGCCUAUCGUUAGUCUCUCGACCCAUAGUAGGGGCCUCUGGCCCCCAUGGGCUCAUGUCAUCGGUAUAGCCCCUGUGGUGGUAUGGCCACGGGUGGCCAUCGGGAAGUGAAAUUCUA